rnacentral:rRNA from 1 species
GACGAACGCUGGCGGCGUGCUUAACACAUGCAAGUCGAACGGAAAGGCCCUGCUUUUGUGGGGUGCUCGAGUGGCGAACGGGUGAGUAACACGUGAGUAACCUACCCUUGACUUUGGGAUAACUUCAGGAAACUGGGGCUAAUACCGGAUAGGAGCUCCUGCUGCAUGGUGGGGGUUGGAAAGUUUCGGCGGUUGGGGAUGGACUCGCGGCUUAUCAGCUUGUUGGUGGGGUAGUGGCUUACCAAGGCUUUGACGGGUAGCCGGCCUGAGAGGGUGACCGGCCACAUUGGGAAUGAGAUACGGCCCAGACUCCUACGGGAGGCAGCAGUGGGGAAUAUUGCACAAUGGGCGGAAGCCUGAUGCAGCAACGCCGCGUGCGGGAUGACGGCCUUCGGGUUGUAAACCGCUUUCGCCUGUGACGAAGCGUGAGUGACGGUAAUGGGUAAAGAAGCACCGGCUAACUACGU